GACGAACGCUGGCGGCGUGCUUAACACAUGCCAGUCGAACGAAGAGCGAUGGAAGCUUGCUUCUAUCAAUCUUAGUGGCGAACGGGUGAGUAACGCGUAAUCAACCUGCCCUUCAGAGGGGGACAACAGUUGGAAACGACUGCUAAUACCGCAUACGAUCUAAUCUCGGCAUCGAGGAUAGAUGAAAGGUGGCCUCUACAUGUAAGCUAUCACUGAAGGAGGGGAUUGCGUCUGAUUAGCUAGUUGGAGGGGUAACGGCCCACCAAGGCGAGGAUCAGUAGCCGGUCUGAGAGGAUGAACGGCCACAUUGGGACUGAGACACGGCCCAGACUCCUACGGGAGGCAGCAGUGGGGAAUCUUCCGCAAUGGACGAAAGUCUGACGGAGCAACGCCGCGUGAGUGAUGACGGCCUUCGGGUUGUAAAGCUCUGUUAAUCGGGACGAAAGGCCUUCUUGCGAAUAGUGAGAAGGAUUGACGGUACCGGAAUAGAAAGCCACGGCUGACUACGUG
rnacentral:rRNA from 1 species